CAGCCUCGCCGGCGCCCCCGUCCCCGGGGGACGCCGCGGUCGCCGCCGCCUCAGCAGCCACGGCCGCCAUUUUCUCACUGGUCUCUCCCUCCUCCGACUCGGGCUGCGGCGGCGGCGGCGGCGGCAGCGCGGCUGGGUUCCCGAGGCCUUCCCCUCCCUCCCGCUAACACUGUCGUCCCGCCCUUUCCCUGAUGCUCGUGAUUGGCACCGCGCCAUUGGCUCCGCCUUCCACCCCUCCCGCACUGGUGUCAGCCCAUUGGUCGGCAGGAGCCGUCUGUCGCGGGCCUGGUUCCGCCCCCUCGCUCAGAGUAGGAACUUCCCAUUGGUGGGUCAGCCCUUUCCUAUAGGAGAGAUCAGAGGCACAGAGAACACCUACAGAGAAAGAAGGCAAGUUCCAAUGUGGAGGGAAGAAUAAAAUUCUGAAGACUAAUUGAAUGCCAUGUGCCAGACCCUAGUACAGUCUUACAUGAUUGUAGGCAGAUUUUGUUUUCUGCCUGCCAGCUCCAAAUAACCACACAGAGACCUCUUGUUAAUCAUGAGAGCUUGGCCAAUGACUUAGGCUUGUUACUAAUUAGCUCUUACAGUUUAAAUUUCCCCAUGUUUAUCAAUCUACUUUUGUCUCGUGGCUUUAUUACCUUUACUCUGUACUGCCCAUGCUGCUUCCCCUCUGUCUGCCUGGCAACUCCUUCUUCUCCCCAGUUUCCUGUGUGCCUGAAUUGGCCAUUUAGCUUUUUAUUAAACCAAUGAGAAUGACACAUCUUCACAGUGUACAAAAAGAUUAUUCCACAACACAUGAUCUUUGCAAGAAGACAAGUACUAUUGUAUCCAUUUUAUUUGAAAACUGAGACAAAAAGAGGUUUCUAAAGUCAUGUCGCUAGUAAAUUACAUAGCUUCUUCAUAGAAAAGAGAAAAUGGCAAUAAGCAAAUGUUAACCAAUGAUCUGUCUAUUUCAAGUCUAGCAACUCUCAGGAAAAUAAAAGUCCAAUAGAAGGCCAGAUGUUAGUGGCACAUGCCUUUAAUCCUAGCACUCAGGAGGCAGAGGCAGACGGAUCUCUGUGAGUUUCUAGGCCAGCUUGGUCUACAGAGCGAGUUCUAGGACAGCCAGAGCUGUUACACAGAGAAACCCUUUCUCAAAAAACAUCAUCAUCAUCAUCAUCAUCAUCAUCAUCAUCAUCAUCAUCAAUUUAAAAGUCUAAUAGAAGAUACCAGUCAGGGAGAAUUCAGAAUCUUCCUUUAAGGAUAACUGGGGAGGGGGGGGGGAGUGAGUUCACUUAGUGAUCACUAUGUACUACUGAUUUUUCCUAUAACCUCUCAUUUAAAAACCUGUUAUGGGUGUUGGAGAGAUGGCUUAGCAGUGAAGAGCAUGUACUGCUAUUGCAGAGGAUGCCAGUUUGGUUCCAGUACCAAGAUCAAGUAGCUCUCACCAGCCUGGAAUUCCAACUCCAGGGGAUUCAGUGCCCUCUCGCCUCCUUGCACACAAACCUACACACGCAUACAUAAAUAACUAAAAAUAGUAAAAAUGCCAGGCACGGUGGUCCAUGCUUUUAAUAGAGGAGACAGAGGCAGGUGGACCUGUAUGAGUUCAAGGCCAUCUUGGUCUAUAUAGCAAGUUCUAGGCCAGCCAGGGCAUCUAUCGUAAUGAGACCCUAUCUCAAUAGUCAGUUUUUAAAACCCACUGUUAUGUUUUAGCUUUCUUGUACAGAUGAAGAAACAGCCUUCUUCAAAAGGUCUGUGCUUGCUAACAUGCACACACCAUUGGCUUUGAUACCUAGCAUAGUAAAAAGGCCAAAAAAAACUCUCUUAUGGGCUAUAUGCUUACAUUGAACAUAUAUGGGUCCUGCCUUACAGAAUUUUCAUUAUGACACUAUGUCUAUAGUUUACCAUAAUCAGCUAAUUAAACAACAUAUAGUCUAGAAAGCCAUGACACUCUGGAUUCCCAUGCUGUAUAAUUCCCACAGGGAGGAAAAUAUACCUUGGGUCCUGGGACCUCAUUACUUCUCAAGAUAAUUACAAAAUUCUGCAGCUAGUAGUUUAAAUUUCUAAUUUAUCACAGAUGGCGGCAUAUAUAACAAGGCAUCCUCCUAAGCCACUGUUUUCAUUGAGCAGCUCAAGAGACUCUACUCAUCCUGUGUUCACAUUAAGUCAGUUCUUCUGCUUUGCUGACAAGACUCUCUCUCCAAUCCUGUCCUAUCUUUCAGAGUAUAUUGCCUACCAAUUUUCAAUCUCUCUAAUACUAGGAAGGUCUACUCAUGCACCUUUCUCUCAUUCAUUCAACAAACAUUGAAGGACUACUAUGCAUCAGUAACUGUGAUCUGUCAUUGAAACAAGCAGAAGACAUGCCAUAAAGAAUAUGAAAGAUUUGGUAACAGCCCUCCUACUUUUUCUAAUUGGUGAGUUAUAAAAUAAUAAACUGAUGAAAGAUUCUGAGCAAUUCUAUAAGAGAAAUAAACAGGUUGAGGUAAUACAGUAAAUGGGCAGGGCAGAAGAAUGCACCCUUUAAAGAAGGUGGGUAUAGAAAGGCCUUUCUGAAGACAGGACUCUUUAGGAUACAAAGGAACAGACAGAGCCAGCUCUUUACAUUGCUGGCUGAACAUUCAAGUCACAAAAGAACAUCAGUUGCUUAAAGUCCUGAGGCCAAAGAGGGGCGUGGCUUGGUCAGAAAAAGAAGGAAGACCAUUGGUGGUUAAAGACAAGGAGCAAGAGAAUGAGUAGGUAACAUGAGAUUGGAAAGGAAAACAGGACCUAAACCAUGUUUAGUGAGAGAUUCUCCCUCCAGGAACCCCAGAUCUAGUAGAGAAUCUGGCUCUUAUAUUUACUACUGUAGCCUAGGUACUUCUGCUAUCAGGUUCCUUCUGGCAUGGGAUUGACAUGGAGAGACCAUCGAGAGCCAUGUGAUAUAUAGGUCUAGUGAGGUGGCAGGAUGGAUGGAUAGUUGGAGGGUUGGAUACAUGUAUGGAUGGGAAGAAGAAGAAAUCCAGCAGUGCUGGAGUAGUGUGGACUGUGGAUGUUGUACUUUCAUAAUGGCUUGGCUCUGUGCUGUGGCACAGCCCCUGAUGGAGAUCUGGAUCUUCCAGCCUGGUUGGUAGCCAGAUUGCAGCAGGUGUGCAGAACCUCUGAAUGGAAGCUUUGUCAGUGUGCAGCACUGGAUAGUGUUCCCCAUGUAACAUCCGUCAGAAUAGUCUAACAUCAUUUCACUGUGUUCUUGGGCCCAAUGAGCAUCUAGACAAGAUGCCUCUACCCAUGGAACUAUGUUGUCAGGCAUCCAGGUAAGAUGAUGGCCUCGAGGACCCUGCACCCAUGACUCCUUCUCCACUGGACAUGAGCAGCAUCCCCUGGAAGCCAGAGAUUCCAGAAUGCACAUAUCAGCACUUCAUCAAGCAGAGGAAGGAGAAGCCAGUUGUCACCUCCCUACAGUGAGACUCUAUCAGUAGCUACUGACACUGGACAAAAUUCCCACGGUGAAAGCUAAAGCUUCCCACGUCAUCACGAAUUCUCCCACCACCAAAUGGACCUAGGAGAGCAUCUGGCAUUUUGAGGAACAGGCAGGACUGAGAGAUGCUGCCUACACAUGCCGCAAGGGCCUUCCCUCUGAAGAGACCAGGUACCUCUGAGUGGCUGAAGCAGUCCAGAAGUUAAAGCUGCAGAAUGUUCACCCUGGCACAGAGAACACCCCCUCACUCAUCCAGUCAGCAAAAACCCACAGGCUGCUUCACGUCUGUUUCCUUCACAGCCUUACCUGGCCCAGAUCCUAACACCACAGGCCAUGGAAGUGGGACUGAAAAGAACUCAGCAGAUAAGUGGAGCCCCUUUGGACCAAGACUGAUCCGUAUGUCUAUUUUUUUGGAGAUAUUGCCAUCUAGCCUUACAGAAGAGCCCAGAGCCCUCUCUCAGGGGCUAAGACUUGUCCAGGCCACCCAAGUAGGUGAAGAUCCACCACCUUCAAGUUGCCCAAGAUGGAUGUCCCAGUUAGAAGAGAAAAAGCAAACACCAUGAACCCAUAAGCUCAGACCCCGUGACUUGAAUACAUUCAUGCCCAUUGCCUUCUAGAAUGCUUUGAGGGGUCCCAGGGACCCUGUUCUUUAAUCCUGGCUCUGAAAUAAGGACGUGGUAUUUUUAAGAGGAGGCCCGAGUGACAUUUAGUUCAGCGAUUAUCUUUCUGUGAAAGAAACUUCUGCUUUAAAGCACCGCUUUAAAGUUGGAUGUUAGCUAAAAAAUGUUUGCUGUGCUGAUUGGGGGACCUCGUGACCUAUUUUUGUAUCCUUUGUCCUAGAGAAGGACUUUGAUCCUUGCUUCCUGGGUAAAUAACGCUUAAGCAAUUCCCAAACCUCGGCUCCUUGCUUCUUUCCCCGUGACCAACCUAAGCAUUGACAAAUAGAGAUGUACACCCACGAACCUGGAAAACUGUGACCUCCUGACAUUUUCUAGCCUUGUCAGCAGGGCUGAACCUGUCUGAGGGCUGGGUCCAGCAAACAGCCAGACUUGGGAGGACCCUGGUUCUCCACACUGAAGCUAGAGACUAUGUGUUUUUUAUUAGCCUAAUGAGCCUCUGCAGUUGGAGGGCCAACUCGCUACUAAAUGUCACAGAGCAAAUACGAGUCUCGAAGGGCCUCUCUUGCAAGUGAAAUUAGCUUAACUCCAGUUUGGUCAAAAACGUCCUCCAGGAGACAACCGAGCCUACUAAAUUCAUAUUGGUAAAUGCAUCCUAAAUGGGCUUGUUGCGGUUUUACCUUUCCCAUUACUAGAACUCAAACCAGGGCCUCAUUCAUGCUAGGUAUGGGCUCACUAAGCUCCACGUCUGGUUACUGGAUGUGUGUGUUCAAGAGUAAACAUGGCAGGUAAGUAGGUAGACUUGAGGUUCACUUGAAAUCACCUUAUUUUGCUUUCCUUGUUCAGGUCAAGGCCUGGGAUUUUGGUGUCGGAGAGGAAGAGGAAAAAUCCACAUCUUCUCUGUAAUGAAAACAUUUUCCACCCGAUGAGCUGCAUGCUGUACGCAUCGUACUGAGGAGAGAGAGCAAGGAAAUGCCUUUUUUCUUUUUCUUCACCAUGCACAGUCCACCAUCUUUUUUUUUUUUUGGGGGGGGGGUUUCGAGACAGGGUUUCUCUGUAGCUUUAGAGCCUGUC